GGCCUGGUGGUGUAUCUGCAACACAUCCCCUUAAAUUAAGGAAGUAGAAUUUGUAUCCAAGGAAGUACCCCGUUCGACCCGGGGCCAGGCCA